rnacentral:rRNA from 1 species
AUUGAACGCUGGCGGCAUGCUUUACACAUGCAAGUCGAACGGUAACAGGCCUUCGGGCGCUGACGAGUGGCGAACGGGUGAGUAACGCAUCGGAACGUGCCCAGUCGUGGGGGAUAACGCAGCGAAAGCUGUGCUAAUACCGCAUACGAUCUGCGGAUGAAAGCGGGGGACCUUCGGGCCUCGCGCGAUUGGAGCGGCCGAUGUCAGAUUAGGUAGUUGGUGGGGUAAAGGCCCACCAAGCCAACGAUCUGUAGCUGGUCUGAGAGGACGACCAGCCACACUGGGACUGAGACACGGCCCAGACUCCUACGGGAGGCAGCAGUGGGGAAUUUUGGACAAUGGGCGCAAGCCUGAUCCAGCAAUGCCGCGUGCAGGAAGAAGGCCUUCGGGUUGUAAACUGCUUUUGUACGGAACGAAAAAGUCCGGGUUAAUACCCUGGGCCCAUAACGGUACCGUAAGAAUAAGCACCGGCUAACUACGUG